GCCUAUAUAGCCUCGCUGGUCAUAGAUCCAACCAUGCAUUGUGCGAGGUGAAAGAGUACUGCAAGAAACAAAGAAGGAUUCAGCCACAGUCGGAUACAUUCCACUUCCUGUGGAGUCAUCCAGUGCACUGUUCAAGGCUUCAGUUCCAAAGGAGUCAUCGGUUGGGAAAUGAGAUAGCAUAGACAGGAGAUUUGUGACAGACCAAGGCAUGAAACCCAUCAGUUGACGAGUGGAAAUCCCUCCUUUCUAAUUAAUAGAGGUACACAGGCCAGAGGGAUAAGGAGGAUCAGGGAAAUGAAAUCAGCAAAAAGAUACCAUCACUCAUUUCUGAGGUCUAUUGUCACACUUCAGAAUCUGCUGUAAUGAAUCACUCAAGCAUUCCACAGAUAUAUUUGAAUGCCUUGUCUGCCCUGCUUUUGUCAAAGUGCCCUCUGAUCAAAAAGCAAAAUCAAGGCUGUGGCAACAGGUGCACAUUCUGAAAGGCUGGCACUCUUCAAGUGUACUGGAAAGCUAUCUUGGAUGACAAGAAUGAGCCAAUAAGUUUCAAGGGACCUGUUCCACGGGGUCUUUUGAGAAAGUUGGUGUGGACUAACAUGCUGUACAAUUUAUUACAAGCAACAAAUCUCUAUUGAUAGAAUAAUUUUCCUUACUUUAACACUAUACUUUGCCAUGCUGACCCUACUGUGACUAGUUUUAACUUCUCUAACUAUUAACAGACCAGUGAGCAGACUGGCAAAAUAUGACCUCGCCAUAUGAUUUUCUUGUGUUUCCUCACUUCAGAAUUAUGCAAUCGUGGUAAUUUACCAGUAAUGUGACAUUAGUAGAAUUUGACAUAAUUCUUAUUGGUAAGUUACUUAAAUAUUUUUAAAAAAUACAAUAAAUGCAUUUUUACACAAAGAAAAUUAUGUAUAGUGUCACAAAAAAGAAAAGUGGAACUGGAAUUUAUCAGAGAAUGUCGAUGUGCAAUAUAUCCAUGAACUGCGGAAAAGAUUGAGCAGUUCUAACAUAUUUUCAAUUCUCUGUACGUGAUGUCGAUGUUCAUGCAUUAAUUUUCUAGCAUAUUUAUUCUUUUCAGGGUCACUGGAAGCUGGAGCUUAUCCCAUCUACCUUUGGUUGUAUUAUCCUAUACCCUGGAAUUAUCACUCAUCAAUCAGAAGUGAAGCAUUUCAACCUCUAAAAUACCAAAGGCUUGUUCUAGUUAUAUUUUCAAAAUAAAACAAAUUGGAAUAUCAUUUCUUUUUUGUAAAAUGUAUUUUUGUGAAGAGCCCACUCAAACCUGGCCACUACACAAGUGUGUAUACAUGUCAAGACUUCAAAUGCAAACACCAACAAGCACCCUUUAGUCAUUUAGGAUAUGGAUUGGUCAGUUGGAGCAGAAUCUUCUGUGGCAACAAGUCCGAUGUAAGUGAGAAACAACAUAUAGAAGUGUAAAUUUUUACACAUCUAUCCAUUAUAUAAGCUGCUUUUCCUCAUGAGGGUCGCAGGAGUGCUGGAGCUACUGUAUCACCAGGCACCCUGAACUGGUUGCCACUCAAUCGCAGGGCACACGGAGACAAACAGAUGGAGCACCUGCAAUUUAUAGAAAUAUGCUCAUAACCACAGAAAAAAUAGGAUGCUACAUUAGGGAUGGAAUCUCAAGACCUUAAAAUAACUGUAAUAAACUGUAAAUAACCCGAGUAUGUAGUUGUUACCUAACACCAUAAUCUUAAUUUAUUGAAUCUGCACAGACAGAGACAGAAAUUUUUAAAGAGGUCAAAAGACAUUUGAAUUCUAAACUAUAUAUUCAUAUAAUCAAAUCAUUUUAUUUAGUCAUGGUGUAUUGCUAUAAUCUAGUGUUUAUUUUUUAUGCACAGUGGCACAUCUUAGAGGGAACAUUGGUCAAGACUACACAUAAUAAACGACGUCUUUCAAUAGCUAUGUAUUUCUACUCGUAACAAAUUUUACGCGCGUGAUUUUUCGAGCUCGACUGUACAGAUUUGUGAUUGCGAUGCCGCGCGGGCACAUAAGUGCCCGUCAAAUCACAGUGACUGCUUUACUCAUUGAUUUGAUUUAUUUUGACAUGUUGUGUUUGUGUGUGUGUCAGUGUUACAUCAAGAUGUGGGCCAGAGGUGUGUGGAUUGAAGGAAAGGUGGAAGAAAAGGGAGUUGUGCUAUUGUGUUGGAUUGAUGCAUCAGAAGAUAUCUUGUACUGGCCAAAGUUAAAUGAGCGAACUGCUCUGAAGAAGAAACAGAAGUCUGUAAAGGGCUACAAAUGGUGGGAGUUAAAACUCCUUAAAAUGAAGUUCACAUCAGUGAUCUAUGAUGAAUGUGACGACUACGAUAUAACUACUGUGGAGGGUGAAGAUGUAUCUGAAGCGGAAGAUCAAAAAGAGAACCUUUAAAGAUUGUACAACAGCACCAAAAACCUCCUAAGUGGAAGAUUCACAAAGUGAUGCUUAUCCUGUAAUUGCCCUGCAAGACCAUCAAAGCAGUGGAUCAGAUGGUUCACUGUCACCAUGAAGAACCCUGAGACAUUCAAAACAAAGCCAUCUCCCAUCAACCUCAAGCCAUCCACCACCAACCACGAGCCUCUCCCAUUCUUCUAAGAGAGUUGGCCCACGUCAGAAGAAAGGUUUCAGAAAAUGCUGAAUUUCUGCUGCUUACAGAGAUAAGGGACACCGCCAGGCAUCAAGACCAUAGGCCAGCACAAGAAGAGGACAUGGACAUUGUCUAGAUAAAAUCUUUGGCCGACUUCAUUGUCCUUGAACAGAAGGUGAUUGAAGACCCUUUUACUUCUGCAAAACUGAAAUCCCAAAUCUUGAAAGGUGUAGGGGUAACCCUCAAAGAAUAUAUCAAACUGAUCCUGAAGAGAUGCAGUGGCAGGAAACAGGACAGGAGGAACUCAGAUGGACAGUAAAUAUGAGAGACACAUAGUCAAAGUUCAAAUAGUGGAACAUUACACUUUAUUUUCUUUUGUUUGUAACAUACUUUAAGAAAAAAGUAAUUUUUUCAAUUUUUUUUGAAAAAAGUUAUUUGUUCUAAAUGUUAA